rnacentral:rRNA from 1 species
GGCUCCUUGCUUUGUUUUAGAUAAGGAGUCGGGCCUGCCCAGUGAGAGUUUUUAACGGCCGCGGUACUUUGACCGUGCAAAGGUAGCAUAAUCAUUUGCCUUAUAAUUGGAGGCUGGUAUGAAUGGUUUGACAAGAGUGCGACUGUCUCUUUAUGAUUUGUUGGAAUUUUAUUUGCGAGUGAAGAAGCUCGUAUUUUAUUAAAAGACGAGAAGACCCUAUCGAGCUUAAGAGGAGUUGGUGAUCUGAGUUUAUAUAGGGUUAAAGAUGAAGGUUCAUUAUAGAUUUUGGUUGGGGUGACUAAGGAACAGGGGUAGCUUCCUUUAUUUUUUGUUUCUGGCUAGUGUUGAUCCAAGAGGUCUUGAUUGAAGAAAUUAGUUACCGUAGGGAUAACAGCAUUAUCUUUUUUGAGAGUUCUUAUCGAAAAAAAGGUUUGUGACCUCGAUGUUGGACCAGGAUGUCCUGAAGGUGUAGAGGUCUUCAAGGGUUGGUCUGUUCGACCAUUAAAAUCCUACG